rnacentral:rRNA from 1 species
GAUGAACGCUGGCGGCGUGCCUAAUACAUGCAAGUCGAGCGAACGGACGAGAAGCUUGCUUCUCUGAUGUUAGCGGCGGACGGGUGAGUAACACGUGGAUAACCUACCUAUAAGACUGGGAUAACUUCGGGAAACCGGAGCUAAUACCGGAUAAUAUUUUGAACCGCAUGGUUCAAAAGUGAAAGACGGUCUUGCUGUCACUUAUAGAUGGAUCCGCGCUGCAUUAGCUAGUUGGUAAGGUAACGGCUUACCAAGGCAACGAUGCAUAGCCGACCUGAGAGGGGGAUCGGCCACACUGGAACUGAGACACGGUCCAGACUCCUACGGGAGGCAGCAGUAGGGAAUCUGCCGCAAUGGGCGGAAGCCUGACGGAGCAACGCCGCGUGAGUGAUGAAGGUCUUCGGAUCGUAAAACUCUGUUAGUAGGGAAGAACAUAUGUGUAAGUAACUGUGCACAGCUUGACGGUACCUAAUCAGAAAGCCACGGCUAACUACGUG